UGAGUAACACGUGAGUGACCUGCCUUUUAGACUGGAACAACUUACCGAAAGGUGAGCUAAUGCCGGAUGAGUUAUAUAAGUGCAUGUUUAUAUAGGAAAAGUUGGGGAGACCUGACGCUGAAAGAUGGACUCGCGUCCCAUUAGCUAGUUGGUAGGGUAAUGGUCUACCAAGGCGACGAUGGGUAGCCGGCCUGAGAGGGUGGCCGGCCACACUGGGACUGAGACACGGCCCAGACUCCUACGGAAGGCAGCAG
rnacentral:rRNA from 1 species